UACGUAGGUGGCAAGCGUUGUCCGGAUUUACUGGGCGUAAAGAGCGUGUAGGCGGCCAGACCGGUCCGUUGUGAAAACUGGAGGCUCAACCUUCAGACGUCGACGGAAACCGUCUGGCUAGAGUCCGGAAGAGGAGAGUGGAAUUCCUGGUGUAGCGGUGAAAUGCGUAGAUAUCAGGAGGAACACCGGUGGCGAAGGCGGCUCUCUGGACCACAACUGACGCUGAGGCGCGAAAGCUAGGGGAGCAAACAGG
rnacentral:rRNA from 1 species